GAUGAAGAACGCAGCGAAAUGCGAUAAGUAAUGUGAAUUGCAGAAUUCAGUGAAUCAUCGAAUCUUUUAACGCACAUUGCGCCCCUUGGUAUUCCGAGGGGCAUGCCUGUUCGAGCGUCAUUAUAACCCCUCAAGCUCAGCUUGGUGUUGGGGCCUGCUGCACUGGCAGCCCUUAAAAUCAGUGGCGGCGCCAUCUGGCUCUAAGCGUAGUAAUUCUUCUCGCUAUGGAGUCCUGGUGGAUGCUUGCCAUCAACCCCCAAUUUUUCUAUGGUUGACCUCGGAUCAGGUAGGGAUACCCGCUGAACUUAAGCAUAUCAAUAAGCGGAGGA
rnacentral:misc_RNA from 1 species